AUUGAACGCUGGCGGCAUGCCUUACACAUGCAAGUCGAACGGUAACAGGUCUUCGGACGCUGACGAGUGGCGAACGGGUGAGUAAUACAUCGGAACGUGCCCAGUCGUGGGGGAUAACUACUCGAAAGAGUAGCUAAUACCGCAUACGAUCUGAGGAUGAAAGCGGGGGACCUUCGGGCCUCGCGCGAUUGGAGCGGCCGAUGGCAGAUUAGGUAGUUGGUGGGAUAAAAGCUUACCAAGCCGACGAUCUGUAGCUGGUCUGAGAGGACGACCAGCCACACUGGGACUGAGACACGGCCCAGACUCCUACGGGAGGCAGCAGUGGGGAAUUUUGGACAAUGGGCGAAAGCCUGAUCCAACAAUGCCGCGUGCAGGAUGAAGGCCUUCGGGUUGUAAACUGCUUUUGUACGGAACGAAAAAGCUCCUUCUAAUACAGGGGGCCCAUGACGGUACCGUAAGAAUAAGCACCGGCUAACUACAUGCCAGCCGCCGCGGUAAUAC
rnacentral:rRNA from 1 species